UUCCUAAUAGCCAUCGCUGGGAUCCUGGUGUCCUCCUAAAAUAAAGAACGCGUAUUUAGAUUGAGCAUGCUUGUGGCAAACCUGUGCGCGGUGCACGCAGCUACGACGUAUGUGGAUUGGCGAUUUUGAAAAGGGGUGUUCAGUUCUUAGUUCUGAGAGGGCUGUACACUCAUUUUGGAGGACGAUAUGACUGUGCAAGAUAUAUAAUUACUGGUCGGGUUUUCGAAUAUGUAACAAGAAGAGUCUGAUCGUAAUGCCAGGCCAGUGGGUGAUUCUCUAAACGCUCUAAUCUCUCCCAAGCAAGGAUUUCAUUAUGUAUCUGCGUGUAGUUUCGCCAAACCGAUAUUUUCAAAUGCAUUAUGGAUUUAUGGAACAUUAUUCACCUAUUACUUAAUUUUGUGAACGUUUUCGGAGGGCUGCGUGGCUGAACUAAAGACAUUUGGGGCAAAGCAGCUACGUAGCCGUUUUUAUGUUACAGUAUUUUAACAAUGAGAGCAGCAACGGCACCUCCCAUGAGAAAUCUGCAUGCACAAACAGCAUGGAGACCUACCAUGGCACAGCCUCGGUAUGCUGCCAGCCUGGUGUCACCUGAACAGACAUUAGAGAUGUGAACCUGCCGUUGGCAUCAUGGUCAGGGCUUUGCAGCAACAGCGGGGAGCCAUUCAAAAUGGAGUGUGGGAAAGGGCGGCAGUCUGGUCGGCGGGAGCGUGCAGUUGUCCAGGUAAGGAUGUGUGUCUGUGUGGAUGUCUAUGCAUUUAUACAUACAGUAUGCUGGUGCUGUGCAUCUGUGCUUGUGUUUGCCGGUGUGUUUGUGUGUGUGUUUGUGUCUGUGUGUUUGUAUGUGCCUGUCUCUGUGUUUUGCGUUUGAUUGCACAGCUCCAGUGGUGAGGUCCCUAGCUCUCUCCCUUCACUGUCUGUCUGUCACUGAGAGGGUCACAGCUCCAGUGGUGAGGUCCCUAGCUCUCUCCCUUCCCUGUCUGUCUGUCACUGAGAGGAUCACAGCUCCAGUGGUGAGGUCCCUAGCUCUCUCCCUUCACUGUCUGUCUGUCACUGAGAGGGUCACAGCUCCAGUGGUGAGGUCCCUAGCUCUCUCCCUUCCCUGUCUGUCUGUCACUGAGAGGAUCACAGCUCCAGUGGUGAGGUCCCUAGCUCUCUCCCUUCACUGUCUGUCUGUCACUGAGAGGAUCACAGCUCGAUGGUUUAAUGGCCGGAAAUGUUUAAGAGGGAUGAUGGAUGGAAGAAAGAGAAGAGAGAGAGAGAGCUACAAUGUGUUUUCUGGCCUCUCCUCCCUCGUUCACAGCUGUUGUUCUCUGCUGUGACUGGGCGUUGUGGUCUUGUGUGUUCUGGUUUUGGCUCGCUCCCACUGUAACAAUUUUGUAAAUGUCUUAAAUAUCUCUUGAC
ensembl:lncRNA